GUACUACUCACUCCGUCCGGAAAUACUUGUUAUCAAAACGAAUAAAAGAGAAUGUAUCUAGACGUAUUUUAGUUCUAGAUACAUCAUUUUUUAUCCAUUUUGAUGACAAGUAUUUUCGGACGGAGGAAGUACUUG
rnacentral:pre_miRNA from 1 species